rnacentral:rRNA from 1 species
CCAACUUUUGAAAAUUUGACCUCGGAUCAGGUAGGAAUACCCGCUGAACUUAAG